CCUACGGGAGGCAGCAGUGGGGAAUAUUGGACAAUGGGCGAAAGCCUGAUCCAGCCAUGCCGCGUGUGUGAAGAAGGCCUUCGGGUUGUAAAGCACUUUCAGUGGGGAAGAAAGCCUUGGGGCUAAUACCCUCGAGGAAGGACAUCACCCACAGAAGAAGCACCGGCUAACUCCGUGCCAGCAGCCGCGGUAAUACGGAGGGUGCGAGCGUUAAUCGGAAUUACUGGGCGUAAAGCGCGCGUAGGCGGUCUGAUAAGCCGGUUGUGAAAGCCCCGGGCUCAACCUGGGAACGGCAUCCGGAACUGGCAGGCUAGAGUGCAGGAGAGGAAGGUAGAAUUCCCGGUGUAGCGGUGAAAUGCGUAGAGAUCGGGAGGAAUACCAGUGGCGAAGGCGGCCUUCUGGACUGACACUGACGCUGAGGUGCGAAAGCGUGGGUAGCAAACAGGAUUAGAUACCCUUGUAGUC
rnacentral:rRNA from 1 species